UGCGUAGGCGGACUAUUAAGUCAGUGGUGAAAUCCUGCAGCUUAACUGCAGAACUGCCAUUGAUACUGAUAGCCUUGAGUUUGGUUAAGGUAGGCGGAAUGUGUAAUGUAGCGGUUGAAAUGCUUAGAUAUUACACAGAACACCAAUUGCGUAGGCAGCUUACUGAGCCGACACUGACGCUGAGGCACGAAAGCGUGGGGAUCGAACA
rnacentral:rRNA from 1 species